rnacentral:ribozyme from 1 species
GAACAAAGAAAAGUGAAGGCGGAAAGUUUAUUUUUUCUUUUGAUGUGCAUUGUGGUUUGCAACCCGGGAAACGAAAAAAAAAACCCUAGAAAAAAAACUUCUGAACCUGGUGGUUACAGUUCAU